rnacentral:tRNA from 1 species
CAGAGCGUAGCUUAGUAAGUAGAGCACUUCCCUUACACCGAAGAGACACCCGUGCAAACCGAGUCGCCCUGA